CAGGCAUGUGACAGAUUGACAUUAGCAGCACAGCUCAGUGUGCUUGCAGACCAGACGUCUCUUGGAUGCUCAGAGAUAUUGAACAUUGGUUAUUUUCAUGGGAAUGGUAGGUGAUCACACCCACAGUACCAUCCGGACUCUCUACUGCUCUGGAGCUGCUGAAGUUUCCACUCAGAGAUCCCUCCCCCGCAAUUCAUUGGAAAAACAGACAGAAGCCUGAAGGGAAAAAAAUCCUUUUACACAUGAAGAUGGUAUCAGCAUCGUAAAAUGAUUUUCACUUUAGCAAAAAAAGAAAACCAAUAGCAAUCCGGUAUUUGGGUGCAUCAGGGAAACAAACAGAACAGUUAACACCGUCCAAGGAUAAAUAGUAUGUUGUUAAGAAGACGUUUUUAUUCAGCACUGUACUUUUCAACAGCUGUCUAGUUCAAAGCAAGAGGAUAGUCCCAGUUUGGGAGCUCUGCCGCGUGGUUCACGUUGGAAACCGCGUUUGGGACUCAGCUGACCCGCAGUCGCUCAUACCCCCCGGCUCAGCAGCAACCCCAGACGUCCCAAACCCCGACGAAAGCUUGGACACGGCAGAUGCCUUUUGUUCUGUUGCUCUGAGCUCUUCUGCAUUCCUCCCACGUACGGUCUCGUAUCUCAUUGCCUGGUGCUGCUCUCGGCUACCGGGAGGUAGAUCCACCUUCGGUGGACAAGCCGCGGAGCAAGGACUCUUUGUUUCCCACAGACAAAUGAGCAAUGUCAGUUAAUUCAGAAAACU